CCGCCCCCUGUGUCAGUGGAUGCGACCGGGCGGGCCCUCGGCUUUGGCGGCCGGUGGAGAGGGACUUCGGCCGCUGGCUCCCGGGGCGGCUGAGGCUGAGCGCUGGUCCGGAGCAGGUGCCGGGUGCGGGCCGCGGUGUGCGGGACGGGAGCCUGGCGCGAGCGGCGGCGGGAGGGGAAAGCGCAUUUGUAACGCGGGCGACGAUGUGCCCGAAAUCCCCGGACGGUGGGUCUGCAUCGAGACGCCGAGCUCUGGAGCUGGAAAAACCCGGAAUCCCAGCAUGAUGAUACGUGAAGGGUUUU
rnacentral:sRNA from 1 species